GAAAUUUAAAAAAUUUGGCGGUAUUUUAGUCUUUUUAGAGGAACCUGCUCUAUAAUUGAUGAUCCACGAUUAAUUGUACUUAGUUUAUUAGUUUGUAUAUCGUCGUAGUUGAGUAUCUUAGGAGAGAAAAAUAUUCAUAAUUUAUAAUUUUAUAAAAUAAAUCAGAUCAAGAUACAGUUUAUAAUUAAGAAGAGGUGGGUUACAAUAAAAAUAUUUAAAUGGUUAUGAUAAUUAACAUUAUUAUAUAAAUUGGAUUUGAAAGUAAUAUAUUUUAGUUAAAAUAUAUGAUUUAAGCUCUAAAAUAUGCACAUAUCGCCCGUCGCUUCCAUUGAAAAAUUUAAAUUGGAAUAAGUCGUAACAUAGUAGGCGUACCGGAAGGUGUGCCUAGUAAGAUUUCAAAUUAAAGCUUAUUUAAGUAUUUUAUUUACAUUAAAAUGAUAGAUUGUUAUAAAUCAAUUUAAUUUGAAUUAAAGAAUUUAUUUUUUAUAUUUAUAAGUAAUAUUAUUCAAAAAAAUAUUUUAUUGUUUAUUUAUUAAUUAAGAUAAAAUUAUUAUAAUUAUAGUUAAGUUGUAUAGUGAUAGGGUAUUGAAAUAUUUGAAAUAUUAAAAUAUUUUAAAGAAAAAUUGAUUUUUUGUACCUUGUGUAUCAGGGUUUAUUAAAUAAUUAUUAUUUAUAUUUAAUUUUCUCGAAUUUAAAAGAGUUAAGAAAUUAUUUAUUUUAUUGUGAAAAAAAUAUUUUAAAUAAUUUUUUAGUAAUGAAAUGUUAUUCGUUUUUAAAUUUAUCUAGUUUUUUAAGAAAUAAAUUUAAUUUAGUUAAUUAUUGUAAUUAAAAUAAUUAUUUAUUUUAAUUAAUAUAAUUAAUAAAUAUUUUAAGGGAUAAGCUUUAAAGUAAAAAUUUAUAAAUUAUUAAAAUUUUAUAGAAAUAAUUAGGAUUAGAAGUUUUUAUUUUUAAUAGUGUGUUAUAUCAAAUUUUUAUUAGAUUAUAAAAUUUAUAUAUAAUUUUAAAUUUUUUAUUAAAAUUAUUAAUUUAAUGUAAAAAUUUAUGUAAUAAUGAUAAAAUUAGUAUAAUUUAAUGUAAUUUUAAUUUUUAAUAUAAAGGUUAAAUUAAGGAAUUCGGCAAAUAAAUUUUCCGCCUGUUUAUUAAAAACAUGUCUUUUUGAUUAUAAUUUAAAGUCUGACCUGCCCAAUGAAUUUUAAAUGGCUGCGGUAUUUUGACCGUACAAAGGUAGCAUAAUAAUUAGUUUUUUAAUUGAGAACUGGUAUGAAUGGUUGGACGAGAAAAUUACUGUCUCAAUUUAAUUUAAAUUAGAAUUUAAUUUUUAAGUAAAAAAGCUUAAAUAGAUUUAAAAGACGAGAAGACCCUAUAGAGUUUUAUAUUAUUUUAAAUAUAAUUAAAAGUUAAAGAAUUUUUAAUUUAAAUAUAUUUAAUAAUAUUUAUUUGGGGUGAUUAAAAAAUUUAAUAAACUUU
rnacentral:rRNA from 1 species